rnacentral:rRNA from 1 species
GACGAACGCUGGCGGCGUGCUUAACACAUGCAAGUCGAACGGAAAGGCCCUGCUUUUGUGGGGUGCUCGAGUGGCGAACGGGUGAGUAACACGUGAGUAACCUGCCCUUGACUUUGGGAUAACUUCAGGAAACUGGGGCUAAUACCGGAUAGGAGCUCCUGCUGCAUGGUGGGGGUUGGAAAGUUUCGGCGGUUGGGGAUGGACUCGCGGCUUAUCAGCUUGUUGGUGGGGUAGUGGCUUACCAAGGCUUUGACGGGUAGCCGGCCUGAGAGGGUGACCGGCCACAUUGGGACUGAGAUACGGCCCAGACUCCUACGGGAGGCAGCAGUGGGGAAUAUUGCACAAUGGGCAGAAGCCUGAUGCAGCAACGCCGCGUGCGGGAUGACGGCCUUCGGGUUGUAAACCGCUUUCGCCUGUGACGAAGCGUGAGUGAUGGUAAUGGGUAAAGAAGCACCGGCUAACUACGUG